rnacentral:rRNA from 1 species
UACGUAGGCAGCGAGCGUUGUUCGGAGUUACUGGGCGUAAAGCGUGCGUAGGCGGUGUUCCAAGUCUGUUGUGAAAUCUCCCGGCUUAACCGGGAGGGUGCGGCGGAAACUGGGAUGCUGGAGUGCGGGAGAGGUAAGCGGAAUUCCCGGUGUAGCGGUGAAAUGCGUAGAUAUCGUAAGGAAGACCAGUGGCGAAGGCGAAUCUCUGGACAGUUACUGACACUGAGGCACGAAGGCCAGGGGAGCAAACGGG